rnacentral:rRNA from 1 species
UACGAAGGGUGCAAGCGUUAAUCGGAAUUACUGGGCGUAAAGGGUGCGUAGGCGGUUCGUUAAGUCUGUCGUGAAAUCCCCGGGCUCAACCUGGGAAUGGCGAUGGAUACUGGCGAGCUAGAGUGUGUCAGAGGAUGGUGGAAUUCCCGGUGUAGCGGUGAAAUGCGCAGAGAUCGGGAGGAACAUCAGUGGCGAAGGCGGCCAUCUGGGACAACACUGACGCUGAAGCACGAAAGCGUGGGGAGCAAACAGG